rnacentral:sRNA from 1 species
AUGGACCACUCGCACACUCCGGUUCCGGGCGCGCCGUCCGCCCCACCUGACGAGAGCUUGCUACGUUGUGUUAGCC